rnacentral:rRNA from 1 species
GAACGCUGGCGGCGGGCCUUAACACAUGCAAGUCGUGGGAGAAGGAGUUCCCUUCGGGGACUUUGGAGACCGGCGGAUGGGUGAGUAACGCGUAGGCAACCCUGCCUUUGGCACGGGGAUAACCCACCGAAAGGUGAGCUAAUACCCGAUGAUGCAGCGGCCCCGCAUGGGGACAGUUGUUAAAGCCUUCGGGCGGCCAAAGAUGGGCCUGCGUGUCAUUAGCUGGUUGGUGAGGUAACGGCUCACCAAGGCGAUGAUGACUAGGGGGUCUGAGAGGAUGAUCCCCCACACUGGGACUGAGACACGGCCCAGACUCCUACGGGAGGCAGCAGUGAGGAAUCUUGCGCAAUGGAGGAAACUCUGACGCAGCCACGCCGCGUGCCGGAAGACGGCCCUAUGGGUUGUAAACGGCUUUUACCAGGGAAGAACCUGGGCCUUUCGAGGCCCACUGACGGUACCUGGUGAAUAAGCACCGGCUAACUCCGUGCCAGCAGCCGCGGUAAUACGGAGGGUGCAAGCGUUGUCCGGAAUCAUUGGGUGUAAAGGGUGCGUAGGCGGAAGCCUAAGUCGGGGGUGAAAUCCUGCCGCUCAACGGCAGAAUGGCCUUCGAUACUGGGUUUCUUGAGUCCGGAAGAGGUUGGUGGAAUUCGUGGUGUAGCGGUGAAAUGCAUAGAUAUCACGAAGAACACCGGUGGCGAAGGCGGCCAACUGGUCCGGCACUGACGCUGAGGCACGAGAGCGUGGGGAGCGAACAGGAUUAGAUACCCUGGUAGUCCACGCUGUAAACGAUGUAUGCUAGUUGUUGGCCCUUUGGGGUCAGUGACGCAGUUAACGCAGUAAGCAUACCACCUGGGGAGUACGUUCGCAAG